rnacentral:rRNA from 1 species
UUCCGUAAAGGCUUCGCUUCUUUAGUCAUCAUAACUGCCUGGGCCAUCUGAAAGCACCGGAACAGCAUCAUCUUCGAUGGCCUGCAACCUUCCAAUGGCGACCUUCUGGCCACGAUCAAGGACGAGGCUCGACGCUGGGCUCGAGCCGGCGCCCAAGGAUUAGAUAGGAUCCUCCCUGUAACCUGA